GUGCCAUUUCAGCAGCACAUAUGCCCAAACUGGGACAGGACAGAGAUGAGCAUGACCCUACACAGGGACGACAUGCAAACUCGGGAAAUGCUCCAUAUUUUU